UACGUAGGGUGCAAGCGUUGUCCGGAAUUAUUGGGCGUAAAGAGCUCGUAGGCGGUCUGUCGCGUCUGCUGUGAAAUUUCGGGGCUCAACCCCGAACUUGCAGUGGGUACGGGCAGACUAGAGUGUGGUAGGGGAGACUGGAAUUCCUGGUGUAGCGGUGAAAUGCGCAGAUAUCAGGAGGAACACCGAUGGCGAAGGCAGGUCUCUGGGCCAUAACUGACGCUGAGAAGCGAAAAGCUGGGGAGCGAACAGG
rnacentral:rRNA from 1 species